UCCUUUAGGUCCUGUCUUUCUCCGGAUUUAUUGGGUUUAAAGGGAGCGUAGGCCGGAGAUUAAGCGUGUUGUGAAAUGUAGAUGCUCAACAUCUGCACUGCAGCGCGAACUGGUUUCCUUGAGUACGCACAAAGUGGGCGGAAUUCGUGGUGUAGCGGUGAAAUGCUUAGAUAUCACGAAGAACUCCGAUUGCGAAGGCAGCUCACUGGAGCGCAACUGACGCUGAAGCUCGAAAGUGCGGGUAUCGAACAGG
rnacentral:rRNA from 1 species